GCAACACAGGAGCUAAGGAGACAUGACAACUGUGCUUUGGGAAAGGUCAAUACACACAAUGAAAAACACCAGCUGGCAACGUGGAAGAAUGCUUCCUCGCCCUUCUCUGUGAUGCUUUUGUGUGGCCGGCUUUUUUAGCUUCCGCCACAAUUUCUGCAAGAACUCAGAAGUCUGGAGGGCAAAUAUUCAAGAGGAUUAUCACUAAGGUUUCAGUGUCUGCUGUUGCACCCUUAAGAGAAAGCCACCAAAUCUGUGUGCCUGGAAUAGGGUGUACCCCAGCAUAUUCUAAAGGGACAGCCUGUAACUGCUAACUGAAGAAUGAUUGCUCCCGCUGCUUGGUGAAAACUAGUAUGGAAGGGGACAGAUUGGCUGUGAGGACACCAAUCAGAGAGUGACUUUUCAUCAGCCACGAUCAGAGUGGCUUUCUCCUCGAGAGCCCUGAGCGUCAGGACUUCCGGCGAAGGCGUCGAGCCCUGAGUGCAAGGACUUCCGGCGAAGGCAGAAGCCUUCCAUGUCUGCUCUAUCCUCUGUGGAUACCACUAUGUACAGGCCCUGAGACACUCAGAGGGGGACAAAAAAGGAAGAGCAACAGUUCCUGGUGGUACCCGAACAAGACGUGAGAGAAUACCGACAAUGGACGACUUUCUCUGACACUUGUAGUGCAGGCUAGAUAAGCAGCUGCCUAAAAGAGAUUACAGCGAGAAGCUUGGCUUUGCAACAAAUGGAGGCCACUACAAGAAACGACAACCAAUCAGAUUUCAGAGUUGUGGAGCCCAGUCCUUAUGGAUACAUUGUGUGAAACAUGCCCAAGCCUGAGGCUCAGGCAAUAUUGUGGAAGAGGGGGCAGAAAGAUUGAAAGCGCCAGAAGAUGAGGGAGUCUUCUGUGAGAUCCUGUCUCCUAGGAAUGUCAGAAGCUAUGCCCAGGAGGUCACCACCAUGAUUGGCCAAAGAGAAACUGAAUAAGUGUGAUACAGACUGACAUGAUCAAAGUGGAUGGGGGAAAGCCCAUGAGAAGUCAACCCUACACAAAGAGGUACAGCCAGGGAGUGCUUAGUAUAGAAGACUGUCCUUUGCCUGGGUCAUGUGGACAUGGUGUGGGCAAUA